GCUAUUCUACACCCACAAGUUUAUUUUUAUCUAAAGAAAAUAUUCACAUAUAUACAGUAUUGUAAUAAAACUUUUCACACUUAAAAACCGCAAGGACUUGCUACAAGCUCACCACAGAAAAGAUAACCACUCAUCCCUUUUGCAUCAUGGAGAAGCAACAAAACACAAAAAUUUGAUAUCCCGAAUGAUUAUGAGCUACUAAACUCUGAACCUUAAUAUGACACAAUUAACAUCACUAGUUUUUAGUAGAAGUAAUAAGCCUUUCAUAUAAUCUGAUAGCUGGUUUUCCACAAAAAGCAUCAAAGUGCUACUCUAUAAGCAAAUUCACACAAUAUAGGCCUUAUAUGUGUUAACCCUUUAAGGAUUAGCUUAAGGGGAUACUUAAAAUAGUUAACACUAACCAUUUUAAAGUUGGCUUAAAAGCAGCCAUCCUAACAGCGUUCUAGCUAAAAUACCUAACUUACCCAAUAUUAAAACUCCAAUUUUAACAAAAGUGAAAUCUAGUGCUAAAUAUUAUACAACACUAACAAACAGGCAUUCUAUUAGUAUUACACAUAAAGCAGCUCUAUAAAUCCACUUCAACAAAAUAGAGACAAAACAAAUAAAAACCAAACAACUAUAUAAAGCGAACUCGACAAUAAAGUUCCCUGCCUGUUUACCAAAAACAUCGUCUUUUGAUUACAUAAUUAUAAAAGAUAAUGCCUGCCCAGUGAGUAAACUUAAACGGCCGCGUUAGCGUGAACGUGCUAAGGUAGCGUAAUAAAUAGCCCCUUAAUUGGAGGCCAGUGAAUGGCAAGACUAAGAACAAUUGUACCUUUUAUACCUAAAAACUUUUCAUCUAAGUGAAAAGACUUAGAUAAUUAUGGCAGACGAAAAGACCCCGCGGAACUUUACCUUAUCCGAUUCAAUGCCCAGCAAGCACAAUAAAUGAAAGGUUUGAUUGGGGCAAUCUUGGAACCAACAAAGCUUCCAACUUUCCUAAAAACAUAUAAAAUUAGGUAAAGACAAAAAGAAGUUACCCCGGGGAUAACAGCGUAAUCCAACUUGAGAGUACACAUCGAAAGCUGGGUUUGCGACCUCGAUGUUGGCUUAGGGAAAUCCACAUUAGUGCAACCGCUAUGACAGGACAGUCUGUUCGACUAUUUCACCCUUACACGAGCUGAGUUAAGACCGGCGCAAGCUAGGUUGGUUUCUAUCUCCACAAUAAACACCCUUCUUGAUUGUACGAAAGGACCCCAAAAGGUGCAACUAAUAUUAGCAUUUAAUAAGAACAAUCACAUCAGAUACCAUUUCAUCA
rnacentral:rRNA from 1 species